AUAACCCUUUGUUGUCCGACUCUGUUGCCUCCGGGGCGACCCUGCCUUCGGGCGGGGGCUCCGGGUGGACACUUCAAACUCUUGCGUAACUUUGCAGUCUGAGUAAACUUAAUUAAUAAAUUAAAACUUUUAACAACGGAUCUCUUGGUUCUGGGCAUCGAUGAAGAACGCAGCGAAAUGCGAUAAGUAAUGUGAAUUGCAGAAUUCAGUGAAUCAUCGAAUCUUUGAACGCACAUUGCGCCCCCUGGUAUUCCGGGGGGCAUGCCUGUUCGAGCGUCAUUUCACCACUCAAGCCUCGCUUGGUAUUGGGCAACGCGGUCCGCCGCGUGCCUCAAAUCGACCGGCUGGGUCUUCUGUCCCCUAAGCGUUGUGGAAACUAUUCGCUAAAGGGUGCUCGGGAGGCUACGCCGUAAAACAACCCCAUUUCUAAGGUUGACCUCGGAUCAGGUAGGGAUACCCGCUGAACUUA
rnacentral:rRNA from 1 species